UACGGGGGGAGCAAGCGUUGUUCGGAUUUACUGGCGUAAAGGGCGCGUAGGCGGCCACUGCAAGUCAGUUGUGAAUCUCCGGGCUUAACCCGGAAAGGUCAACUGAUACUGCAGGGCUAGAGUGCAGAAGGGGCAACUGGAAGUUCUCGGUUGUAGGCGGUGAAAUGACGUAGAUAUCAGGAGGAACACCGGUGGCGAAGGCGGGUCUCUGGGCCGGAUACUGACGCUGAGGAGCGAAAGCGUGGG
rnacentral:rRNA from 1 species